rnacentral:lncRNA from 1 species
GGAAAGCGGGGCCGGUUCCUUCAGGACCCGCCUCAGGGGGCACCGCGGCGGCUUGGGGACCACUUGGAGCCCCGUCCUGGGGAGAAAACAGCUCACGUCUAUGGCCCUGACUGCUUAGGCGGGAGCUGCGUGCAGCUCAGCUUCUCCGGGGCAUUUUUUUCUACACGGUUAUUGCUCUGUCACCCAGGCUGGAGUUCAGCAGUGCGAUCUUGGCUCAUUGCAGCCUUGAACCUCCCGGGCUCAAGUGAUCCUCCCUCCUCAACCUCCCAAGUAGCUGGGACUACAGGUCUGGGUGAGCUAUGAACAGGCCAACUGCAAGGGCGAGCAGUUUGUGUUUGAGAAGGGCGAGUACGCCCACUGGGACUGGUGGACCAGCAGCCAGAGGACAGACUCAGCAGCCUGAGGCCCAUCAAAGUGGUGACAGCCAAGAGCACAAGAUCAUCCUCUAUGAAAACCCCAACUUCACCGGGAAGAAGAUGGAAAUCAUAGAUGACGAUGUACCCAGCUUCCACGCCCAUGGCUACCAGGAGAAGGUGUCAUCUGUGUGGGUGCGGAGUGGCAUGUGGGUUGGCUACUAGUACCCUGGCUACCGUGGGCUGCAGUACCUGCUGGAGAAGGGAGACUACAAGGACAGCAGCGACUUUGGGGCCCGUCACCCUCAGGUACAGUCCGUGCGCUGCAUCCACGACAUGCAGGGGCACCAAUGUGGUGCCUUCCACCCCUCCAACUAGUGCCCACCCCACCAUGCCUCCUUCCCAGGACCCAGGUCUGCUGCCCAGGAACCCUCCAGACCUCCCAGAGAGUGAAUGAAGUGUGACUUGCAACUUGUCUGCUGUGGGUCUUUGAUCUCCCCUGGCAGCUGGUGUGUGUGUGUGUGUGUGGAAGUUUCUCUUUUCAUCAUCAUGAGUCCUCGAAGGGUGCUGUGUUCUGUCCCUCUCACUCCUGACUGGCAGUGACUCUAAAAAAUGCCCCACCCGUGGGGAGGCCUUGGAAAGUAGAAGUGGAGAUGCAGUCACUGAUCUCGGGAGAAGCUGAAAACACAGUCAUCAGCCCUAGGAGAGGGGUUUUCUGCACUUCCUUGGCCAUCGCUGGCCUCUGGGGUGUUUCAAGUUUUUCUGGAAAACAGGAUCAUUCUGUGGAGUGAGUCUCAGGACCUUGACAUGGGAGGAACAAAACUUUUCUUGCUUUUUUGGUGCACCCUGGGCUGAAAUAAGAAAACCACUAGGGGUGAGUCUUCAAAGCAAAGACAACCCAGGUGAGCGGAGUGGUGGGGUUUUAAAAAAACACAGGUGGAGAGGAGCACGUUCUCUCUCUCAGAUAAGAUCUCAACCAGUGGGGAGAACCAUGCGUGCUCAGGAUGGGAUGCCUGCCUCAGAAUCCCCUGGAAUAUGGAUUUCCACUCCACCCAUCUUCUGCUACAGCAAUGGAAUUGGUUUCUAUCAAGGUGGGACUGAGGUGCUGGGCAGGUUGACCAUCACCUCCCAAGUGAUGAAGCAGCUGGCUGGGGAUGUGGAUGGGAAGGAGCUCAGAGGCUGCCCCAAGCUCCUCCCAGCACGAAGCUGAAAACCAGACCCUUCUGCCCCUAAGAGGCUGUCGAGGGCUUCCUGUCUCCCCUUGUGAGAAAAGAGACUCAGUGAAGCAGGGCUCAUAUUAGUGAAUCUCCAAAGGUAUUCCCAGCUUCCCUGAAGCCGCGGUUCUCAGUGUGUGAACCACAAACCAGCAUCACUGGCAUCACCUGGGGUCUUGUUAGAAAUGCAAGUUCCGAUCAGGAGCCUUGGUUCAGGCCUAUAAUCCCAACACUUUGGGAAACUGAGGUGGGAGGAUCGCUUGAGGCCGGGAAUUCGAGACCAGCCAGGACAACAUGGUAAGACCCCAUCUCUAUA